rnacentral:rRNA from 1 species
AACGAACGCUGGCGGCAGGCUUAACACAUGCAAGUCGAGCGCAUCCUUCGGGGUGAGCGGCAGACGGGUGAGUAACGCGUGGGAAUCUACCCAUCUCUACGGAAUAACUCAGGGAAACUUGUGCUAAUACCGUAUACGCCCUUUUGGGGAAAGAUUUAUCGGAGAUGGAUGAGCCCGCGUUGGAUUAGCUAGUUGGUGGGGUAAAGGCCUACCAAGGCGACGAUCCAUAGCUGGUCUGAGAGGAUGAUCAGCCACAUUGGGACUGAGACACGGCCCAAACUCCUACGGGAGGCAGCAGUGGGGAAUAUUGGACAAUGGGCGCAAGCCUGAUCCAGCCAUGCCGCGUGAGUGAUGAAGGUCUUAGGAUUGUAAAGCUCUUUCAACGGUGAAGAUAAUGACGGUAGCCGUAGAAGAAGCCCCGGCUAACUUCGUGCCAGCCGCCGCAGUAAAAC